rfam:Biomphalaria glabrata isolate BB02 unplaced genomic scaffold LGTN_random_Scaffold6543, whole genome shotgun sequence.
UGGCUGAGCGGUAAAGCGUUUGGCUUCUAACCGGGGAUCCCGGGUUCAAAUCCUGG